rnacentral:rRNA from 1 species
CCUACGGGAGGCUGCAGUGGGGAAUAUUGGACAAUGGGCGAAAGCCUGAUCCAGCCAUGCCGCGUGUGCGAAGAAGGCCUUCGGGUUGUAAAGCACUUUCAGUGGGGAAGAAAGCCUUGGGGCUAAUACCCUCGAGGAAGGACAUCACCCACAGAAGAAGCACCGGCUAACUCCGUGCCAGCAGCCGCGGUAAUACGGAGGGUGCGAGCGUUAAUCGGAGUUACUGGGCGUAAAGCGCGCGUAGGCGGUCUGAUAAGCCGGUUGUGAAAGCCCCGGGCUCAACCUGGGAACGGCAUCCGGAACUGUCAGGCUAGAGUGCAGGAGAGGAAGGUAGAAUUCCCGGUGUAGCGGUGAAAUGCGUAGAGAUCGGGAGGAAUACCAGUGGCGAAGGCGGCCUUCUGGACUGACACUGACGCUGAGGUGCGAAAGCGUGGGUAGCAAACAGGAUUAGAUACCCUUGUAGUC